AUUGAACGCUGGCGGCAUGCUUUACACAUGCAAGUCGAACGGCAGCGCGGGCUUCGGCCUGGCGGCGAGUGGCGAACGGGUGAGUAAUACAUCGGAACGUGCCCAGUAGUGGGGGAUAGCUCGGCGAAAGCCGGAUUAAUACCGCAUACGACCUGAGGGUGAAAGCGGGGGAUCUUCGGACCUCGCGCUAUUGGAGCGGCCGAUGGCAGAUUAGCUAGUUGGUGGGGUAAAGGCCUACCAAGGCGACGAUCUGUAGCUGGUCUGAGAGGACGAACAGCCACACUGGAACUGAGACACGGCCCAGACUCCUACGGGAGGCAGCAGUGGGGAAUUUUGGACAAUGGGCGAAAGCCUGAUCCAGCAAUGCCGCGUGUGUGAUGAAGGCCUUCGGGUUGUAAAGCACUUUUGGCGGGAACGAAAAGGACUGUGCCAAUACCACGGUUCGAUGACGGUACCCGAAGAAUAAGCACCGGCUAACUACGUG
rnacentral:rRNA from 1 species